rnacentral:rRNA from 1 species
UUUCCUUAGAGUUUGAUCCUGGCUCAGGACGACCGCUGGCGAUGUGCUUAACACAUGCAAGUCGAACGGAAAGGCCCCGCUCGCGGGGUACUCGAGUGGCGAACGCGUGAGUAACACGUGGGUGAUCUGCCCUGCACUUCGGGAUAAGCCUGGGAAACUGGGUCUAAUACCGGAUAUGACCUCCCUUUAGUGUGGGGGGUGGAAAGAUUUAUCGGUGCAGGAUGAGCCCGCGGCCUAUCAGCUUGUUGGUGGGGUAAUGGCCUACCAAGGCGUCGACGGGUAGCCGGCCUGAGAGGGUGGACGGCCACAUUGGGACUGAGAUACGGCCCAGACUCCUACGGGAGGCAUCAGUGGGGAAUAUUGCACAAUGGGCGGAAGCCUGAUGCAGCGACGCCGCGUGGGGGAUGACGGCCUUCGGGUUGUAAACCUCUUUCGACAGGGACGGAGUGAAAAUGACGGUACCUGUAUAAGAAGCACCGGCUAACUACGUGCCAGCAGCCGCGGUAAUACGUAGGGUGCGAGCGUUGUCCGGAAUUACUGGGCGUAAAGAGCUCAUAGGUGGUUUGUCACGUCGUCUGUGAAAUUCCGGGGCUUAACCUCGGGCGUGCAGGCGAUACGGGCAAUACUUGAGUGCUGUAGGGGAGACUGGAAUUCCUGGUGUAACGGUGAAAUGCGCAGAUAUCAGGAGGGACACCAAUGGCGAAGGCAGUCUCUGGGCAGUUACUGACGCUGAGGAGCGAAAGCAUGGGUAGCGAACAGGAUUAGAUACCCUGGUAGUCCAUGCCGUAAACGGUGGGCGCUAGGUGUAGGGGACUUCCACGUUCUCUGUGCCGUAGCUAACGCAUUAAGCGCCCCGCCUGGGGAGUACGGCCGCAAGGCUAAAACUCAAAGGAAUUGACGGGGGCCCGCACAAGCGGCGGAGCAUGUGGAUUAAUUCGAUGCAACGCGAAGAACCUUACCUGGGCUUGACAUACACCGGACCGGCGUAGAGAUACGUCUUCCCUUGUGGCCGGUGUACAGGUGGUGCAUGGUUGUCGUCAGCUCGUGUCGUGAGAUGUUGGGUUAAGUCCCGCAACGAGCGCAACCCUUGUCUUAUGUUGCCAACACGUGAUGGUGGGGACUCAUGAGAGACUGCCGGGGUCAACUCGGAGGAAGGUGGGGAUGACGUCAAAUCAUCGUGCCCCUUAUGUCCAGGGCUUCACACAUGCUACAAUGGUCGGUACAGCAGGUCGCGAACUCGUGAGAGUAAGCCAAUCCUUCAAAGCCGGCCUCAGUUCGGAUUGGGGUCUGCAACUCGACCCCAUGAAGUCGGAGUCGCUAGUAAUCGCAGAUCAGCAACGCUGCGGUGAAUACGUUCCCGGGCCUGUACACACCGCCCGUC